GCCAUGAUCGUGGUCGAAAGAGGCCUGUAUAUAGCAAGAGCGUAACUCGCUAGAGGUUUCCCCCACCAUACCAGGCAACGCCUAGCCUAACCUCGUCUAAUUACGCAACAAUCAACCUGCCCUAGCUCGCCACGACAAAUUCUCCGUCUCUCUCUCUCUCUCUCUCUCUCUCUCUCUCUCUCUCUCUCUCUCUUUGUAUCUCUUUGUCUAUCCCUCUCCCACUCUCACUCUGUAUCCUCUACAUCUUUUUUUCGAUGUUGAUGAUGAUGAUGAUGAUGAUGAUCCUCUGAGAACAACGAUAAAGAUAUUGGGUCCUAAGCGAAUAGAAAAAUGAAAUGAGUAUAUUUUUCAAAGAAAAUCAUUACAUUCCACCGAUAUAAUGAUCGAUCGAUCCAUCGAUGUCUUUUAGAUAGAGAAAGAAAAACAUACAGAUAAACAAAUAGACAGACAGAGAGAGAGAGAGAGAGAAAGAGAGAGAGAGAGAGAGAGAGGCAGACAGACAGACAGACAGAGAGAAUAUAUUUCCGAGACGUUAAUUAUUACGGUGAUUGGAGAUAAUUAAAGAUCAUCGAGUAUCAAUCUAUAUAAUAGGAUAAUCAUAGGACAAAAAAACAAAGAGGAUGAAAAACAACGAUAGCGAGAGAGAGAGAGAAAGAAGAAGAUCGUUGUGACGGAACCUUCUUCCUCUCCGUUAGAAGUCGUUCUAUGAAAAAGCUUCGUUCGUUACCGUCGUUCAUUAUCGCGUUGUUGUUGUCGCACAGAGCCUUUGUCAUCGUUAUCAUUGCGCAACGAAGACCGCCGAGGACGUGCUCGCGAGUAAUCGCGCAACGUUGUUACCGUACGCCCGAGCGAAUUUGCUCGAACGUACGGAUUACGAGAGUUUACCUGCUCCGAAGUUUAUUCGAAAAUUUAUGCAAAAGGCACAGAGACAUAUUAAACACGAAUGAUAAGAUUCGUUGAUUAUAAUGAUUUAGGUCAAUGAUUAUCGUGGCUUAUGGCCUUGUCGGAAUAUUUUGUUUGUAGGUUGUAAAAUAAGAGGAAAAGAAAAAGAAAAAAGAAAAGGAAAAAAGAUGAAAAAAAAAAAAAAAAAAAAAGGAAGACCUACUUAUCUGGCCGCCUAAUCUUAUCUACUACGUCGAGAACUAACUCUCGAAUGCCCGUUUAAAGAUAGGAAUUAGGCAUUAUCGCGAAGCAAGUAACUACACAACAACUCGCGGGAAAGAAAGAAGAUCAUCGUCGUUUUUAAAUCCGACGUCCUUCUUUUCGUAUACAAUGAAGAUGAUGACGAUGACUAUGACGACAGUAGUCAGAAAAGAUGUGGUAGUAGGUUAGAGACACGGCACUAAAAGAAAGAUGCCAAAGGCAUCUUUCUUUCUCUCUCUCUCUCUCUCUCUCUCUCUCUCUCUCUCUCUCUCUCUCCUCUCUCU